ACAAAUUUCAAGGCUGUGGAACCAGGAGAAGGUCUGAGGAACGGAGCUCCCGGAAGUAAAGGCAUUGCCUCACAUUUGAGUACACCUGGCAACAGUACUUAAGGAAGGAAAGGUUUGCACUGGCCCGCAGUCUGAAGGAGGACAGAGGACACAAGGCAAUGAGAGCAGCUCUAGGUGUAGCCGUGGGAGCCCGAUAUAGCUGGACGCGCUGCAUCUGAAGGUAGACAAAUGCUAAUACUCUACUUGAUUUCUUCUGUAUUCACUCCAGGGAUCCAGAGCAUGGGAUGAUGUCACCUACAUUCAGAAUAAGUGUUUCCUUCUCAGAUAAAUCCAGAGGUACAUCAGCGAGGGGAUUCCAAAUCCUGUCAAAGACAAACCAGCAGAGUAUUCAAGUGUCCCUCAAGAGAGGGAAGUGGGUCAAAGAUACAAUUUAUGUAUUGCAUGUAUUCAUUUGACAUUUAUAAGAUGUACGCAACUCUAUGUAUAUUUGUAUAUCUACAUGCACGUGUGCAGGUGCCCACAGAGAUGAGGAAGAACAUUGGGUUCCUAGGACCUGCCUGAUGUGAGAGGAGGAACUAGAUGUAGGUCCCCUCAAAGAGCAGCAUGUACUCUUAACUACCACUGAGCCACCUCUCAGCCCUAUUUUAUUGUUUUGAGUCAGGGUCUUGCUAUACAGCCUGCAAUGGCCUUGAGCUUGAGUGAUCCCCUUCCUCAGCAUCCUCAAUGCUAGGACCACACGUGUGCAUGUGAGUCUCAAAAAUAAAUGUUAAUCAUGAACCAGAAAUUAAUAACAAAGGUUAUUAGUGAAGAGAAUGGGUGCCCUGUCUGCCUUAUUAAGGAAACAAGUUACAGGGACAUUGCAGAGAGUAGCCCUUACCCAAAAUGCUUGGGGGCACUAGCAUUUUGAAUGUAAAGUUGUUUUGGAUUUGCAUAUACAUAAUGAGAAAUCUUGGAGAUGCAGCCCAAGUCUAAACACUCAGUUCAUUUGUAACUCCUACACAUGUACACACAUUGACUGAAAGUAAUUUUCUAGAAUAACAUUUGUGCACCUGCACUUUGACUGUAGCCACAUUAAAUCAAAUAAAAGACUUUCUAUUUAUAGUAUCAGGUCAGUGGUCAAAGACUUUCAGACUUUGCAGUGUUUGGAUUUCAUAUUUCCAACCAAGAAUGCCUAAUUUGUACGUCAGUGUUUUACCUGAAUGUAUGUUUGUAUACCACCUACAUGGAAUACCCAUAGAGGCCAGAAGAAGCCAUCCAAACCUCUGGGACUGGAGUUACAGAUGGUUGUAAGUGCUGAGUGUUGAGUGCUGAGACUUGUUGAACCCUAGUACUCUGCAAAUGCAGCUAGUGCUUGUAACUGCUGAGCUAUCUCUCUAGCUCCUUAACCUGUAUAUUAGAAGGGAUGUAGUACUCCUGUCUGGCCUCUGUUACUAAAUUGCCUUUCCCUGGACUAUAUAAGCCAUAUGUCUAGUCUCCUCGAUUUUAUACACUGAUAUUUACCCAGCACCCAGAAGAAUGUAUAGCAUGUGAUUGACACAUAGUAAAUGUUUACCAAACAAACAGCUGGAUCCUUGUCACCUGGGACAAGUGAGAUAGCCCUCUGGAACUGUUUCACUGAUCUGUCACCCUCCUGCUUCACGGCACUGCUGCUUCAUGCUACAGAAGGCUGAUGCAAUGUGUGGAGAUGUUGGGAAGAACAAGAGGUACAAGGCAAGGAAGACAGACAGGAAAUUUGAUAGCAGGUGUAGCUAGGUCAGAAGGUCAUAACAGGCUAAAUCUGCAGGAUGCAGUAAGAGCAACAGCAGACACCACUGCCCAGUGGACAACGUUGGUUUAAGCAGAGCAGGAAGACUGUUCAAACAGCACUGGUUUCUUCUGACUUCAGCCAAGGUGCUGAGAGUGAACCGUUAGCUGUAAAUGGAACCACCAAAGAAGGAAAGUGGGGGGAGGAUGAAGAAUAAGGGAGCACAGGCCAAAAAGAGGAGGAGGAGGAGGAGGGGGAGAGGAGGAGGAGGGAGAGGAGGAGGAGGGAGAGGAGGAGGAGAAGGAGGGAGAGGAGGAGGAGAAAGAAAAAUAAGAGGAGGAUUGAGAGCUUGAGGUCAGUCUGGGCUACCUAAUGAAACUCGAUAUCUCUCUUUUUUUUUAAUAAAUUAAGUUAAUAAAAGAAAAGAAAGGAGAGAUGGUACUGGAGUUCGCAUCUGGGACAUUUCUGUGUUAGAACCUCAUGGGAGGUCUUUGAUAGCCAGGGUCAUUCCUUAACCGGGUUGGAGAGACUGUGGACCCCUCUCUUUCCUCUGUUUCACUCCCUAACCAUGAAGUGACCAGUUUUACUCAACUCUGCUGUAUCAGGACCUAUAAGCUAUGAGCUUAAGGAAGCCUUUGGUGCUUUGCUAUAACUAUAGAAAGGUGACUAACAGAGACAGAGACCAAAGAACUGCAACUCUCGUAUGCUCUCAAAAGGAAAUUCCCUGGAUUUCCUUGCUAGCCCUAACUCUAUGUGGUUUUAUUGCUCUCAUUAAAGGCAUCUUAGCCUGAGUUCUGUUUAAAUGAGUUUGGGGAAUGAUGAACAAGUAAUUUAUCUUCGUGAAUAUGGUUCCAGGAGUGGGAAGACAGGGCAAGU
rnacentral:lncRNA from 1 species